rnacentral:lncRNA from 1 species
CCCAUAAAAAACUUAAAAUUUUUCAUUUUUUUUUGUGUAUUGACCCAUACAAAACAGUCAUAAAGUUUAUGAAACAUAAAAUUUUUCAUUUUUUGGUGUGUGUUGUCCGAUACAAAAAAUAAAGUGUUUCGUGUUAUGCGUUUGCGCUUAUUCAAACUGUUUCAUAUUUCUUGUGUGUUGCCCCCAUAAAUGUUAAAGAGUUUACCGGUGUAUGUUGUCCCAUACAAAACAUAAAAUUUUUCAUUUUCUUUUGUGUGUGUUGCCCCCAUAAAAUACUAUAGAGUUUUCGGGUGUGUGUUGUCAAUAUCAUGAAUCUGAUAUCUAUUUCAGGACAAGCAACCAGUAUCCCUUCCCUAAGCAAGCUCCACACACCAGCUGUAAAUCAACCAAUGACAACACUACCUCCAGCAUGCCUCCUCCAACAUGCAGGGGAUCAACCAAUCACAGAACAGCAGGGCAGAGGACAACAAGUGUACAUGUGUCAUAUAAAAUUACAGGACAGACUGCUCAGAGCAUGAAAAGAUCCAGCCAACAAGCAACCAGUAUCCCUUCCCUAAGCAAGCUCCACACACCAGCUGUAAAUUAACCAAUGACAACACUACCUCCAGCAUGCCUCCUCCAACAUGCAGGGGAUCAACCAAUUACAGCACAGCAAGGCAGAGGACAACUGAAUAUAUCGAUAUGGAGGUCAUGAAACUUGUCAACGAGAAUAACAGUUUCCGGCCAGCACCUUCCAGCCGUUGCCUUGGCCAUUCUUUCUUUGUCACACAGCAAUGCUGAUCCAGAGAGGUGCUUGUCGGUUGUGAGAAAAAUACAGACUGACCAGACAGGAAAUCUGUCAAACAGAACUUUGAACUCUUUAUUUACAGUGAAAUUAAACAGUGACGAAGAGUAUUUUAGGUUGAACAUUUCAAAAGGAUUGGUGAAAUCAGCCAAGAAGGCAUGCUUGACAUACCAGGAAAGUGACAAGUUAAGUUAUAUAAUAACUAUGUGUGUUCUAGUGAGACUAAUGAUGGACAAUAUGUUUUGCUGUUCAAAUGUAUAUGAAACAAAUAUUAUGAAAUAAUAUAUUGAUUAAAGUGGUAUAAAUAAUUAAAUAAAGUGCAGAAUUAACUUAAA